UUAAAGUCAUGAACCAGUAUCUAAACAAUCCUGUGUAAAUGGUGCUCAAAAAUAAACAUGUUCAAACAUUACAGAUAAUAAAUAUUCAAUUAGUUACUGCACCUGCAACUAAGAGAUGAUAAAUCAACUGUAAAAGACACCAAAAUACUUUUCAAACCUGUAACACAAAACACUGCACCACCUGCUCGGUGCUACCAACAUAUCAGACAGCAAGGUCAAUGUCUCCUGUGUAUCAUCAUCCCACACCAUAUACAUUACCACUUCAGGAAGCUAACACUAAACAAUGUCAUUUUUUCUUUGUUAGUAAAAAGUAGGAUUCUAGUAAUUAGUGCAGCAUUUCCUACACUUGGCUAUUUCAUACACCAACUUAACUGUGUCAAAACCACCAUGACAGCACAUAAUGAAAUUAAAUUACUAACAUCAGACAAAUUGGCAUGUGUACAAACACACGGCAGCAUGCAAUGGUACAGCAUAUAGGUACCCUUUUCUUUCAAUAUACUGCUAAAAAUUACUGAAUGCCAGAAUCUGAUAUAAUGAUUUGCGCAAGCAGCUUGUUUUUGGGUCUAAGAGUUAAAAAAAUAUAGCUCCUUUUCAUUCUUCGGAGAGAAAGAACUGUGCAUACGUGUGUGCGCGUGCAUCAUUCUGUGCAUAUACUUCCAGCUCCCAUACUGUGCUGGUCACCAUGGUUAGAUUAGCAGGUUAUUGAACAGAAAUGUUGAAAGUGCAGAGGUUAUGAACUUUCAGACAACAAUGAUAAUCAAAUAAAGGUCAUAAAAGCUGCCUAAAUUUCCAAUACCUACCACAUUAAAUUUCUGAAUACUAUAAUGAAUGACAGUCAAAAGUCUGCAUGACUACCAUGCUGAGGUCAAAGUUAAAAGUCUUCAGAUAUAGAGUACCAUCGUGACAAUCCUACCAAGUUUAUUUAAAAUUAACAAAUUCAAGUUAGCAAGUUUUCUUGCAUAUGGACAAGUACCCUUACAUUGUACUGCCAGCAAACAUCAUCUCCAUUAUCACCCCAUCAACAACAGCAAACUGGAAACCCUCAAUGGAUGCCCCCAUCAAAGAUGUGUUUUCCUACCUUUGUCCUAGCCUGGUCAGGCAACAGUUACAACAGCUGAAAAUCAAUACGUCUUGCUGCCAAAUGCACUUAAUUAGAGAACAGACAUCAGGAGUACAGUAACUAUCCUUAACAUGUUUUAUUAAGGUUUUGAUGUCCCAGCACCAUCAGGAGUAUGUUGGACAGUUAGGAUUCCCCCAUCAUACUUCCAGUACAGUUAGCAACAGGUGUUAUCAUCAGCCCACAUAAAUAAAGUGUUGAAGUCACCGUCUCUUAAGCUGUGUGACAAGUUUCAAUCACACACAAAUGUGAAUCAGCAUAAAGAAACUCAAAGUGGUGGCUCCUCACAUCUCAUACAUUAAAGAAAGAAAAAUGUUGAGGCAAAGUAACUGUGGAGUAAAGUGAGCCCUCAUUGUCCAUCAACUAUGAAUCUGAAAUUUAUCAUAUCCAUCGGUUAGCAGCACUAGAAUGCGCUGGUGUAGUCUCUGCAUUAAUUACAGACCCCCAUAACAGAAGGAUGGGGGCAGGCUGACACACAAAAGCUUCCUGGUCAAACAAUUCUCCCCAGAGCAUCACAGUGGCUGACAGACUGAAGGUGACUACAGACUACUCUACUUGCUAGAGACAGAAAUGAUGUCCAGUACAUUAUGCUGGUUUCUGGGUGCUCUACUCCUCACUGGAGGUGUGUUGGCAAGCCUGUAUCUUUUGUGGCUUCAGACACGCCGAGGAGUGACCGGUUUCUCCCUGCUUGCAACAUCAGAUUCUCUUGCUACUGUUGCAAUAUCCAUCAUGUUUCUCCUGAAUGUAUCUAAUAGCCAUAAUGGCACAGGAAGAACUGCUAUGAUUCCCACUCAAUGCAAUCCAAGGCAACUUACAUUGGCUUCAGCACUCUUUUUGGCUCCAUUCAUCAAUGCAUUUGUCUCAAUGGUGGCCCAUUCAGCAGAAAAUUCGUACAACGUAAAGACUAUACCUAA